GAUGAACGCCGGCGGCGUGCCUAAUACAUGCAAGUCGAGCGAACAGAUAAGGAGCUUGCUCCUUUGACGUUAGCGGCGGACGGGUGAGUAACACGUGGGUAACCUACCUAUAAGACUGGAAUAACUCCGGGAAACCGGGGCUAAUGCCGGAUAACAUUUAGAACCGCAUGGUUCUAAAGUGAAAGAUGGUUUUGCUAUCACUUAUAGAUGGACCCGCGCCGUAUUAGCUAGUUGGUAAGGUAACGGCCUACCAAGGCAACGAUACGUAGCCGACCUGAGAGGGUGAUCGGCCACACUGGAACUGAGACACGGUCCAGACUCCUACGGGAGGCAGCAGUAGGGAAUCUUCGGCAAUGGGCGAAAGCCUGACGGAGCAAUGCCGCGUGAGUGAUGAAGGUCUUCGGAUCGUAAAGCUCUGUUAUUAGGGAAGAACAAAUGUGUAAGUAACUGUGCACGUCUUGACGGUACCUAAUCAGAAAGCAACGGCUAACUACGUG
rnacentral:rRNA from 1 species